rnacentral:rRNA from 1 species
GAUGAACGCUGGCGGCGUGCCUAAUACAUGCAGGUCGAGCGAACAGACGAGGAGCUUGCUCCUCUGACGUUAGCGGCGGACGGGUGAGUAACACGUGGAUAACCUACCUAUAAGACUGGGAUAACUUCGGGAAACCGGAGCUAAUACCGGAUAAUAUAUUGAACCGCAUGGUUCAAUAGUGAAAGACGGUUCUGCUGUCACUUAUAGAUGGAUCCGCGCCGCAUUAGCUAGUUGGUAAGGUAACGGCUUACCAAGGCAACGAUGCGUAGCCGACCUGAGAGGGUGAUCGGCCACACUGGAACUGAGACACGGUCCAGACUCCUACGGGAGGCAGCAGUAGGGAAUCUUCCGCAAUGGGCGAAAGCCUGACGGAGCAACGCCGCGUGAGUGAUGAAGGUCUUCGGAUCGUAAAACUCUGUUAUUAGGGAAGAACAAAUGUGUAAGUAACUAUGCACGUCUUGACGGUACCUAAUCAGAAAGCCACGGCUAAUUACGUG